rnacentral:rRNA from 1 species
ACGCGGAAGAGGCCAAACCAGAGGUAGAAAUACCUUUGGGGUUCGGACAACAUACGAUAUUGACAAUUUCUAGCUGAAUAGUGUGGGAAAGCUAACCGAAGAAGGUGAGAGUCCUGUAAGCGAAAGGAAGAGUCAGUCAGUUGUAUCCAGAGUACCGCCGGACACGUGAAACCCGGUGGGAAUACGGGGGGACCAUCCUCCAAGCCUAAAUACUACCUAGUGACCGAUAGAGAAGAAGUACUGUGAAGGAAAGGUGAAAAGCACCCCGGGAGGGGAGUGAAAGAGAACCUGAAACCUUGUGUUUACAAGCACCGAAAGUCCAUCAAAGGACGAUCGGGUACCUUUUGUAGAAUGGUCCGGCGAGUGUAUGUAUCUAGCAAGGUUAAGCACUUAAGGUGUGAAGCCAAAGCGAAAGCAAGUCUGAAUAGGGCGACAAGUUAGAUGUAUACGACCCGAAACCGGGUGACCUACCCAUGGCCAGGCUGAAGUGAAGGUAAAACUUCAUGGAGGGCCGAACCGACUCCCGUUGAAAUGGUAGCGGAUGAGUUGUGGGUAGCGGAGAAAUUCCAAUCGAACCCGGAGAUAGCUGGUUCUCUCCGAAAUAGCUUUAGGGCUAGCCUUGAAAUAGAUUACUGGAGGUAAAGCACUGAAUUGGCUAGGGGCCGAAAGGUUACUGAACCUUAUCAAACUCAGAAUGCCAGAUAAUCGUUUUUCAGGAGUCAGACGGUGGGAGAUAAGUUUCAUCGUCAAAAGGGAAACAGCCCAGACCCACAGCUAAGGUCCCAAAUUAUAGUUAAGUGGAGAAGGAUGUGGGAUUGCAUAGACAACCAGGAUGUUGGCUUAGAAGCAGCCACUCAUUAAAAGAGUGCGUAAUAGCUCACUGGUCGAGUGAUCCCGCGCCGAAAAUUUAACGGGGCUAAACUAUAAACCGAAGCUUGGGAUACCGUAAGGUAUGGUAGGAGAGCGUCAUGUAAGGGGUGAAGUCAUAGCGAAAGCGGUGGUGGACUUUACAUGAGUGAGAAUGCCGGAAUGAGUAGCGAGAAUUAAGUGAGAAUCUUAAUGGCCGAAAGUCUAAGGUUUUUGGAGGAAGGUUCGUCCGCUCCAAGUAAGUCGGGAGCUAAGGCGAGGCCGAAAGGCGUAGUCGAUGCACAUACGGUUGAUAUUCCGUAACCACUGACAACUUAAACAAAAUGACACUUUAGAAGGGCUUGACCCGGGUGCUGGUAAUCCCGGGCGUAAGGGACCGAAAUUUAGUAGGGAAGCAAGCUUGGAUGGAGGCGAGAAAAGUUUUGUGUAUGUAAUGUUGGUGCCCGUACCGCAAACCGACACAGGUGGACAGGAAGAGAAUUCUAAGGCCAGCGGGAGAAGGGUAGUUAAGGAACUCGGCAAAUUGACUCCGUAACUUCGGGAAAAGGAGUGCUCUCGAGAGAGAGCCGCAGUGAAUAGGCCCAGGCGACUGUUUAGCAAAAACACAGGUCUCUGCCAAAUCGAAAGAUGAAGUAUAGGGGCUGACACCUGCCCGGUGCUGGAAGGUUAAGAGGAGGAGUGAGAGCUCCGAAUUGAAGCCCCAGUAAACGGCGGCCGUAACUAUAACGGUCCUAAGGUAGCGAAAUUCCUUGUCGGGUAAGUUCCGACCCGCACGAAUGGUGUAACGAUCUGGGCACUGUCUCAACUACCCGCCCGGCGAAAUUGUAGUACCGGUGAAGAUGCCGGUUACCUGCGACAAGACGGAAAGACCCCAUGGAGCUUUACUGUAGCUUGAUAUUGGGUUUCGGUAAUUUAUGUACAGGAUAUGUGGGAGACUGGGAAGUUAUGGCGCCAGCCAUAAUGGAGUCGAUGUUGGGAUACCACACUUAGAUUGCUGGAAUUCUAACCUGUGGCCAUGAAACUGGUCAGGGGACAUUGUCAGGUGGGCAGUUUGACUGGGGCGGUCGCCUCCGAAAGAGUAACGGAGGCGCUCAAAGGUUGGCUCAGCACGGACGGAAACCGUGCAUUAGAGUGUAAACGCGUAAGCCAGCCUAACUGCGAGGGUGACGGCCCGAGCAGUAACGAAAGUUGGAGUUAGUGAUCCGGCGGUAUG